GCCAGGCGUGGUGGCACGUGCCUGUAGUCCCAGCUACUAGGGAGGCUGAGGCUGGGGGAUCGCUUGCAUCCAGGAGUUCUGGGCUGUAGUGCGCUGUGCCGAUCGGAUGUCCGCACUAAGUUUGGAUUCAAUAUGGUGACCUCCCGGGAGUGAGGAUCCACCAGGUUACCUAAGGAGGGGUGAACAGGCCCGGGUCGAAAUGGAGCAGGUCAAAACUCCUGGGCUGAUCAGUAGUGAGAUUGUACCUGUGAAUAGCCACUGCACUCCAGACUGGGCAACACAGCAAGAUCCCAUCUCU
rnacentral:SRP_RNA from 1 species